rnacentral:rRNA from 1 species
UACGUAGGUGGCGAGCGUUGUCCGGAUUUACUGGGCGUAAAGAGCGCGCAGGCGGCUGGUCAAGUCCGAUGUGAAAGCUCCCGGCUUAACUGGGAAAUUGCAUCGGAAACUGAUCGGCUGGAAGGUGGGAGAGGGUAGCGGAAUUCCCGGUGUAGUGGUGAAAUGCGUAGAUACCGGGAGGAACACCAGUGGCGAAGGCGGGUCUCUGGGCCGAUACUGACGCUGAGGAGCGAAAGCGUGGGGAGCGAACAGG